UACAUUGCCUGCCUUUGGAUCCCUUUC
rnacentral:piRNA from 1 species